rnacentral:rRNA from 1 species
UACGUAGGUCGCAAGCGUUGUCCGGAUUUACUGGGCGUAAAGAGCGCGCAGGCGGCUGGUCAAGUCCGAUGUGAAAUCUCCCGGCUCAACUGGGAAACUGCAUCGGAAACUGAUCGGCUUGAAGAUGGGAGAGGGUAGUGGAAUUCCCGGUGUAGUGGUGAAAUGCGUAGAUAUCUGGGAGGAACACCAGUGGCGAAGGGCGGG